rnacentral:rRNA from 1 species
AACGAACGCUGGCGGCAAGCUUAACACAUGCAAGUCGAACGCAUCGCAAGAUGAGUGGCAGACGGGUGAGUAACGCGUGGGAACAUACCCUUUUCUACGGAAUAGCUCUGGGAAACUGGAAUUAAUACCGUAUAAGCCCUACGGGGGAAAGAUUUAUCGGGGAAGGAUUGGCCCGCGUUGGAUUAGCUAGUUGGUGGGGUAAAGGCCUACCAAGGCGACGAUCCAUAGCUGGUCUGAGAGGAUGAUCAGCCACAUUGGGACUGAGACACGGCCCAAACUCCUACGGGAGGCAGCAGUGGGGAAUAUUGGACAAUGGGCGCAAGCCUGAUCCAGCCAUGCCGCGUGAGUGAUGAAGGCCUUAGGGUUGUAAAGCUCUUUCACCGAUGAAGAUAAUGACGGUAGUCGGAGAAGAAGCCCCGGCUAACUUCGUGCCAGCCGCCGCGGUAAAAC